rnacentral:rRNA from 1 species
UACGGGGGGGUAAGCGUUGUUCGGAAUUACUGGGCGUAAAGGGCUCGUAGGCGGCCAACUAAGUCACACGUGAAAUCCCUCAGCUUAACUGAGGAACUGCGUGUGAUACUGGAUGGCUUGGAUCCGGGAGAGGGAUGCGGAAUUCCAGGUGUAGCGGUGAAAUGCGUAGAUAUCUGGAGGAACACCGGUGGCGAAGGCGGCAUCCUGGACCGGUAUUGACGCUGAGGAGCGAAAGCCAGGGGAGCAAACGGG